UUUUUUUAAUCUUUUUUUUUUAGGUUUUAUAUUCAAGAUUUCAAAGUUUGAUCAAUGGAGUUUCAAGGAGCCAUAAUUUGCCGACUACAACAACAAAGUGUUGUGAUUAUAUUGGGAUGAAGAUCCUUUUAAGAAGUUUAAAAAGUUUGUAGGUAUGUUAAUGAAAUUAAAGCAUAUCAAUGACAAAUCAAGAUGAUGUUGAUCAAAUUAAGGCACAAUUGAAGACUGUGGAAGAAGUGAUAAGGAAAAACUAUGAUGCUUUAGAUUCAAACAA